GUGGCUCACGCCUGUAAUCCCAGCACUUUGGGAGGCCGAGGCGGGUGGAUUGCCUGAGCUCAGGAGUUGGAGACCAGCCUGGGCAACACAGUAAAACCCUGUCUCUACUAAAAUACAAAAAAUUAGCCGGGCGUGGCGGCGUGCACCUGUAAUCCAAGCUCCUCGAAAGGCUAAGGCAGAAGAAUUGCUUGGACCUGGGAGGCGGAGGUUGCAGUGAGCUAAGAUUGUGCCACUGCACUCCAGCCUGGGCGACAGAGCGAGACUCUUGUCUCCAAAGAAAAAAAAAAUUUAUAUUUGCAUUACUUUCUACACAUACUACAAACAAUACACAGUAACUUUUUUUUAGGAUAAUUAAAAACAGCACACAAUGAACUGAGCUCCUAUAUAUUUAUAAGACGUGUAUAAAUUUGUCCAGAGAAAUUGCACAGCACAAUGUGGUAAUUAUCAAUAAGUUACACCACGGGAAAUAUUUGUCCUGUAUUACCAAAUACAUGUUCUUGUAGAUGCUGUCCUAAAGCUGCUAAAGUAGAUCUUACGUAGUAAAAUAGAUUGGAAGGAUAAAUAUAACCGUUUUAAUAAAGUUAUAUUAUUUGUUCUCAGUGAUAUCAGAAACAAUUAUAUAUUUAAGUGUGAAUUUUAUUAAUAUUAAUAGGUAGGUCUAGCUUUUACUACCAAAUAUUUCUUUAAAAAAACUUGACUCUUUAAACUGAAAUGUAGGAUAAGACUUUAUACUUCGUUCUAUUAUCCAGUAGGUUUCAUUUGUUUUCUUUGUGUUCUGUAAAAGCAAAUGAACACUGAAGGUGGACAGACUUAUAGGCGGCAACAUUGGCUCACCUACUACCCAGCUACCUUCAGUCUUACAACUUGGAUAGUUUUUACAUGAUAAAAUUAAUCCAGCUACCUUUAGUCUUACAACUUGAAUACCUUUUACAUGAUAAAAUUAAUCUCAAAUUGAAAUUUUUUUCCAAUUCAGAAGGUUCUGUUUGGUAGGAGUCAUGGGUGUAUCUAUGUUCUGUCCUUGAGAUUCAGGAAUGCCAAAAAUAUUCUGAGAUUUAAUAACUUAAAAUUUCUGCAUAAUGCAUAAUGAAAUGUAUCACGUAUAAUCUUUCAUUCUUUGGGUUACAUGUUUUAUUUACCUUUGCGUGCUCUGCAUGUCUCAUAUAUUCAACUUAUAUUUUAGUUAAAGUGAUAACUUGUUACUCUAGACAACUUAUAUUUUUAUAUAUUUAUUACUUAUAUUUAAGUAUAUUAAAAAUAUAUUUAUUCUUAU
rnacentral:lncRNA from 10 species